GUAUUUCAAAGUAUUUCUACUAAAAUAAUAUGAAACAACACAAUUGUUAUUUUGUUCUAAACAUUUUCGUUCGAUAUGGGUGGAAAUUUGAUGAAAAUAGAAAUAUAUUUUACUACCGUUGAAACCAUGAAGUUGCAUAGAAUUGUUUUAGAGUGCCUUUUGUUUUGUUUGUUGUGAAUUGAAAAAUGAAAAUUGUGCGGAAACAAGAAUUGUGCGGAACAAGUGGCCUGUUUUACAUCCGGAAUUCAUUGAGUGGGUUGUUGCAGUAAUCCAAAAAUGGAACCAUCAAACCCGGAUGUCCCCACACUGAGACAGCAAGAAAUUAGAACGGCAAAAGCGGUAAUGGAUAAACCGAAAAAGGAAUUACGUGUACGGCAACAUAUCGAAAAUAUCGAAACUUUCCAGUAUAUUAUGGUAAUGUAAAUAAAUAUGCAUAAAAAUUA